UUUGUCUGAAAUAUUAAUAUUAGGUUGGUGAAAAAGUAAUUGCAGUUUUUGCCAUUACUUUCAAUGGGAAAACCACAAUUACUUUUGCACCAACCUAAUAUGUGCAUUU
rnacentral:miRNA from 1 species